GGUGUGCUGUUCAGUGUUGAUUAAUAUUGAUGAUUAAUUACUUUACUGGUUUACAAUUCUCAAAUGUUUGCUAAAUGCUGCUUUUGCAAAUGAGCCCUAUAUUAUGCCAUUCUUUGGUAUUCUUGUGUACUUGCAUACUUACUGUGUGGCUUGCGGAGUAUUCCAUGUAAUCAUCUUGUAAUAAUCAAUCAAACCUCAGUUGAAGAGAAGUCCCAAAGGAGAAGACGUUUGGCUUAUACCCCAGUUGAGCUGCCUGUGGGAGUGGAGCCGGAGUUUCGCUAGAUCGUUUAUCCGUUGCUGUUUUCUCUUUUCUUUUGUGUGACAAACAGCAAGCAGCAGAGCAGUGGAGGGAUGGAUGGAGCAGUGAAGCAACGGAGGGGAUGGAGCGGCAUGGCUGGGGCCUGGGGAUGGGGAUAGAGGGGAUGUGGAAGAAGAUGGCAGCACGGUAGACGGGAAGGUCGCCGACCGGCGUCAAUGGCGAUGGGGAUCGAUGAUGACAUCCACGAAAAUAUUUCUUUUUCUUUUUCUUUUUUGUCCUAACCUGUUAGCAUGUACGUGUAUAAAGGUGAUUAAUGAAAGAGUAAUCAUGUGAUUAAUUUA